UAGGGAAUAUUAGAAAUGGACGAAAGUCUGAUCUAGCAACACCGCGUGUGCGAAGAAGGCCUUCGGGUUGUAAAGCACUUUUUGGAAGGAUUAGGAAGGAAUGUACUUCCAGAAUAAGUCUCGGCUAACUACGUGCCAGCAGCCGCGGUAACACGUAGGAGGCAAACGUUAUCCGGAUUUACUGGGCGUAAAGCGCGUGUAGGUGGUUCUGUAAGUAGGGCGUGAAAGCUCCUGGCUCAACUGGGAGAGGCCGUUCUAAACUGCAGCGCUAGAGGAUGGUAGUGUGCAA
rnacentral:rRNA from 1 species